rnacentral:rRNA from 1 species
GACGUAGGGCGCGAGCGUUGUCCGGAUUUAUUGGGCGUAAAGAGCUCGUAGGCGGCUUGUCGCGUCGUCCGUGAAAACCCACAGCUCAACUGUGGGCUUGCGGUCGAUACGGGCAGGCUAGAGUUCGGUAGGGGAGACUGGAAUUCCUGGUGUAGCGGUGAAAUGCGCAGAUAUCAGGAGGAACACCGGUGGCGAAGGCGGUUCUCUGGGCAUGUUCUGACGCUGAGGAGCGAAAGUGUGGGGAGCGAACAGG